UCAGGUGCAUGUGGAUGGGAUGCAGAGCUCCACAUCUAUGGAACAGUGGGAGACACUAAGGAAGGAGGCAUGCACAUGACUGACUUCUGGCUCACAGAGAAAAACUUAAUCACAAAGCUGUUUGGCCCUUCAGUACCAACGUCAGAAUGGGGGCCUCACAAAAGGGAGCAGGGUGGGGCAAAGAUGGCAAUGAUGAAAUAUAAAGAAAAUCACCCUCCACCCCUCUUGUGCCUUGGAGAACAGCAACCUUACACUCCUAAACCAGCUGCUGUAGGGACUUUGGCAGGGCUAUCGCCAGAACCAGACACAAGUGUCCACAGCUCCCACACAGCUCAAUCACCAAGGAUUUAAUUGGAACCAAUUGGCUUUCUUCAGUGCCCAUGACCACAGGCCUUUGGAGUUCUUUUAAUGACUGAAAAGACUGGAGCUAGAGCUGUAAAAUAGAAUGGACAGUCUUAAUGGGGCCCAGAACCUGCUGGGGAAGCAGAUGGUCCUCUGUGAAUAAGAAAUAAAAUUCCUUACAUGAAUCUAGAACUGAGCACCUGGAAAUUCUUAGAAGAAGAUUACUUCCUGAUGGGUUGGAUCAUAAUACUUGAAAAAUGAAUUGCUCUACUAGGCUGAGAGAGAGAGGAAAGAAGGGAGAAAGGGAAGGAGAGAAAAAAGAAAAUGAAAGGAAGAGAAGAAAAAGAAAGAAAGAAAGAAAAAAUAAAAAGGAGAGAGGAAUGGAAAAGAAGAGAAAAGAAAACAGGUUAAUUCAGAUGA